CCCUUAGAUGUUCUGGGCCGCACGCGCGCUACACUGACGAAUGCAACGAGCUUAUAACCUUGGCCGAAAGGUCUGGGUAAUCUCCAAAUUUCGUCGUGAUGGGGAUAGAUUAUUGCAAUUAUUAAUCUUCAACGAGGAAUGCCUAGUAAGUGCAAGUCAUCAGCUUGCAUUGAUUACGUCCCUGCCCUUUGUACACACCGCCCGUCGCACCUACCGAUUGAAUGGUCCGGUGAAAUCUCGGGACGGCGGCUUGGUCGCUUGCGUCCGACUGCUGAAACUUGAUUAAACCAUAUCAUUUAGAGGAAGGUGAAGUCGUANCA
rnacentral:rRNA from 1 species